GACAGAGGGUGCAACCGUUGUUCGGAAUUACUGGGCGUAAAGCGUGUGUAGGCGGCCGCGCAAGUCGGAUGUGAAAUCCCCGGGCUCAACCCGGGAAGUGCACCCGAAACUGCGAGGCUUGAGUACCGGAGAGGUUGGUGGAAUUCUCGGUGUAGAGGUGAAAUUCGUAGAUAUCGAGAGGAACACCGGUGGCGAAGGCGGCCAACUGGACGAGUACUGACGCUGAGACACGAAAGCGUGGGGAGCAAACAGG
rnacentral:rRNA from 1 species